UUAAAGGCUGCUGGCGGGAAGGCUCUCCUGGCAUCCGAAAACUCCCUCUGGGGCAGCUGCCGAAACACCAGCCGUUGCUGGCUAGAGCUCUGGGAGGAGAGCUGCCUGGGGGCUCCUGGGAAGCCUUGUUCUGGAAGAUUCUUUGUACCUGCACGUGAGCCUCAGAGAGCUGUAAGGGGAGGCCAAGGGGUUCUCAGCACCCACCUGCCUUCUGAGGCCCAGAACCCCUGGAGGGUAUAUUUGCUUAUUUGGAGAGAGACAGCGAGCAGGGGAGGGGCUUCCAUGCUGCCAGCAUGCGAACCAUGCAACUGUGACCUGAGCCGAAGUUGGAUGCUUAACCGACUGAGCCACCCAGGUGCCCCUAAGAUCUACUCUCUUAGCAACUUUCAAACAUAUAAUAUGUAUUGUUAACUAUAAUCGUCACGCUUCUACCGCACAUUCCCAAGACUUACUUAUUAUAUAACCAGAGGUUUGUAUCUUUCGACCACCUCCACUCAUUGCAAAGGCUUUUUAAUUUCAUUUACUGGAUAAUUGUAUCCUAAGGCUCAAGGUAUGUAAGAUAUAUACAUAUAUAUGCAAUGUACACACAUAUAUGUGCAUGUUACAUGCAUAUGU
rnacentral:lncRNA from 1 species